GAUGAACGCUGGCGGCGUGCUUAACACAUGCAAGUCGAACGUGAGGGGAUAGCAAUAUUCUUGAAAGUGGCGCACGGGUGAGUAAUACGUAGGUAACCUGCCCUGGAGUGGGGGAUAACAACUGGAAACGGUUGCUAAUACCGCAUGAAGCCAAGACACUGGGAAGUGACUUGGUAAAAAACUCUGGUGCUUCAGGAGGGGCCUACGGCCGAUUAGCUAGUUGGCGGGGUAAGAGCCCACCAAGGCAUUGAUCGGUAGCUGGUCUGAGAGGACGAUCAGCCACACGGGAACUGAGACACGGUCCCGACUCCUACGGGGGGCAGCAGUGAGGAAUAUUGGGCAAUGGGCGCAAGCCUGACCCAGCAACGCCGCGUGGAGGAAGACGGCC
rnacentral:rRNA from 1 species